CCUACGGGUGGCAGCAGUGGGGAAUAUUGCACAAUGGGCGAAAGCCUGAUGGAGCAAUGCCGCGUGAGCGAUGAAGGUCUUCGGGUCGUAAAGCUCUGUUCUAAAGGAAGAUAAUGAGGGUGCGUGAGGAGGAAGCGCCGGCUAACUACGUGCCAGCAGCCGCGGUAAUACGUAGGGGGCUAACGUUAUCCGGAAUUACUGGGCGUAAAGGGUGCGUAGGUGGUUUGUUAAGUCUGAGGUGAAAGGCUACGGCUCAACCGUAGUAAGCCUUUGAAACUGGGGAACUUGAGUGCAGGAGAGGAGAGUGGAACUCCAAGUGUAGCGGUGAAAUGCGUAGAUAUAAGGAGGAACACCAGUUGCGAAGGCGGCUCUCUGGACUGUAACUGACACUGAGGCACGAAAGCGUGGGGAGCAAACAGGAUUAGAUACCCCUGUAGUC
rnacentral:rRNA from 1 species